AAGCCUGCUGUCUAGUAUAAGCAACUAUACAGUGAAACUGCGAAUGGCUCAUUAAAUCAGUUAUCGUUUAUUUGAUAGUACCUUACUACUUGGAUAACCGUGGUAAUUCUAGAGCUAAUACAUGCUAAAAAUCCCGACCUCCGGAAGGGAUGUAUUUAUUAGAUAAAAAACCAAUGCCUUCGGGCUCCUUGGUGAUUCAUGAUAACUUAACGAAUCGCAUGGCCUUGCGCCGGCGAUGGUUCAUUCAAAUUUCUGCCCUAUCAACUUUCGAUGGUAGGAUAGUGGCCUACCAUGGUUUCUACGGGUAACGGGGAAUUAGGGUUCGAUUCCGGAGAGGGAGCCUGAGAAACGGCUACCACAUCCAAGGAAGGCAGCAGGCGCGCAAAUUACCCAAUCCCGAUUCGGGGAGGUAGUGACAAUAAAUACUGAUACAGGGCUCUUUUGGGUCUUGUAAUUGGAAUGAGUACAAUUUAAAUCCCUUAACGAGGAACAAUUGGAGGGCAAGUCUGGUGCCAGCAGCCGCGGUAAUUCCAGCUCCAAUAGCGUAUAUUAAAGUUGUUGCAGUUAAAAAGCUCGUAGUUGAACCUUGGGUUUGGCUGCUCGGUCCGCCUAACCGCGUGAACUGAUGCGGCCGGAUCUUUCCUUCUGGCCAACCUCAUGCCCUUUAUUGGGUGUGCUGGGGAUCCAGGACUUUUACUUUGAAAAAAUUAGAGUGUUCAAAGCAGGCCUUUGCUCGAAUACAUUAGCAUGGAAUAAUAGAAUAGGACGGAGGUUCUAUUUUGUUGGUUUCUAGAGCCACCGUAAUGAUUAAUAGGGACAGUCGGGGGCAUCAGUAUUCAAUUGUCAGAGGUGAAAUUCUUGGAUUUAUUGAAGACUAACUACUGCGAAAGCAUUUGCCAAGGAUGUUUUCAUUAAUCAGUGAACGAAAGUUAGGGGAUCGAAGACGAUCAGAUACCGUCGUAGUCUUAACCAUAAACUAUGCCGACUAGGGAUCGGGCGGUGUUCAACUUAUGACCCGCUCGGCACCUUACGAGAAAUCAAAGUUUUUGGGUCUGGGGGG
rnacentral:rRNA from 1 species